GGGGAAUAUUGGACAAUGGACCAAGAGUCUGAUCCAGCAAUUCUGUGUGCACGAUGAAGUUUUUCGGAAUGUAAAGUGCUUUCAGUUGGGAAGAAAAAAAUGACGGUACCAACAGAAGAAGUGACGGCUAAAUACGUGCCAGCAGCCGCGGUAAUACGUAUGUCACGAGCGUUAUCCGGAUUUAUUGGGCGUAAAGCGCGUCUAGGUGGUUAUGUAAGUCUGAUGUGAAAAUGCAGGGCUCAACUCUGUAUUGCGUUGGAAACUGUAUAACUAGAGUACUGGAGAGGUAAGCGGAACCACAAGUGUAGAGGUGAAAUUCGUAGAUAUUUGUAGGAAUGCCGAUGGGGAAGCCAGCUUACUGGACAGAUACUGACGCUGAAGCGCGAAAGCGUGGGUAGCAAACAGGAUUAGAUACCCUGGUAGUCCACGCCGUAAACGAUGAUUACUAGGUGUUGGGGGUCGAACCUCAGCGCCCAAGCUAACGCGAUAAGUAAUCCGCCUGGGGAGUACGUACGCAAGUAUG
rnacentral:rRNA from 1 species